rnacentral:sRNA from 1 species
GUGCGUUAGGGAUUGCAGCGGCAUCCUUUUUUAAAUUAGUUGUUGCGUGAGCAUAAAAUUAAUUUAAAAAAGAUAUAGCGGAAAGCCCGACCUUCA